rnacentral:rRNA from 1 species
AUUGAACGCUGGCGGCGGGCCUAACACAUGCAAGUCGAGCGGAAAGAGGGUGCUUUUUCCUGGCUUCCGCGGGGGGCGGGUGUGUGAUGCAUAGGAGUAUGCCUGGCAGUGGGGUAUGAUGUCUGGAGGCGAGCGCUGAUAACACACACGAGCAGAGGGUGAAACAGGGGGGUCGUUGGAACGCUACGUAUUAGCUGAGCCUAGGUCGGGUUAGCUAGUUGGUGGGGUAAGGGCCUACCAAGGCGACGUUCCGCAACUGGUCUGAGAGGAUGAUCAGCCACACUGGAACUGGGACACGGUCCAGACGCCUACGGGAGGGAGCAGUGGGGAAUAUUGGGCAAUGGGCGAAAGCCUGAUCCAGCCAUGCCGCGUGUGUGAAGAAGGUCUUCGGAUUGUAAAGCACUUUUACUUGGGAGGAACCGCUGUAGGUUAAUACCUUGCGGUAUUGACGGUACCGACUGAAUAAGCACCGGCUAACUACGUG